UGAGCUGUACACAGGAGUCUGAAUACAUGCAACCAUACCAGUUCUUUGUCAUGAGGAUUAUCCUGGGAUGCUGUGAGCUUUGGGUUGUUCCUUGUCUAACCACAGAAUUGCUGCAUGCCCCUUGGAGGAGUGAAGAAAAGGGGAAGAGAGAAGAAACAUUUGAAGAAAGAGGAGCCGAGAUUUUCCAGGAUUGGACGACAGCACAAACAUUCAGAUACAGAGUGCACUAGUAGCAGAAAUCCUCACCAAGAAGCCUGUGACUUCCUGGAGACGGUGGAAGAAGCCCUGUGAUUCUAGAGAAACUCAAGACCAAAGCUACUGACUGACUUCCUCACGGAGGGGGCACAGCCUGGAAUAUUCCUCUGUACCCUCGAGUCAUGUUGGGAGAGAGAUCAGGUUCUUCUAACUUGCCCAUUAAUGUAUAUGAAUUACUUAGUUAAUGCCACAAUAUUCACUGAGUUGCUUCUGUUUGAAAAGAGCUGUAUCAGACCCUGGAAAUGUAAAAAUGCUGUCCAAUGUAGAAGGUAUAAUUGGAUGAGGACAUAAGUUACUACAAUGCAAAGUUAAAUCAGAGGCAGAUAUAGCAUGAAGUGAAUGAAACUACAGUGUCAGUGCCCCUCACUUACAUGGGCCCCUUCUGAUGCUCUAGGAGAAACCCUAUGAACAUACUUAUGUGCUCAUACAUUUUGGUAAACUUUGCAAAAGUGAGAAUUAAGAAAAAAAAACACUUCAGUUAAACUGUCUUUUUCCUGUCUUACUUCCCCUACUGUUGAAAUGCCCAAGGACAUUUUUGAGUCCCAGCAAACGAAUUGUACGAAGGACACGUUUAACUGAGUUUAUUGAAAUAUACGUAUGGGAUCAUAAAUACUUCAUUUCAGAAUGACCUGACUGCCAGCUGCACUCGUGGAGGAGUGAUUUCUAGAAACAUCUUACUACCCCUGUGCUGAUUCGUUGGGUUCAUGGCUUGAUGGUAUAGAACAGAGGCUUUACCGUGACAGGAACAUGCCAGGUGGCACUCAGCCCAGGAAGUAGGUGGGUACUGGAGGAGACACCAGGGUUUGAAGUGUACAUGAGGCAAGAAAAUAGUCUGUGGAGAAUUCUUCUAAUCAGACAUGUAAAGCUGUGAAUGGAGGGUGUCAUUCUCAAAAGUGCCUGGUCAGGAAUACUCUUAACGACACAGCAUAAUCAGUUAUACACUUAUACGUGCACCAAUUUUUCUUUUUGUUGGUAAUUGCAUAAAAUGAGGCACAACCUGGUGGCAGCACUAUAAAGAGUAAGUCCAUCUAUAGGUGAAGUUGUACAUUCUAUUCAUUCCAAUUAUCAGCAAUAAAAAAUGUGACCAGCCAUUACAGAAGAAAGACUGAAUUAUAUUUCCAUUUUCUCUACAGAAAAUACUAUAAUUAAGUAACUCCAAUAGGCAGUUACUGAAUGAAAAUGUUAU